UCCCCGGUGAGAGUUACGAGCGUCCGCCUUAUCUCUAACCGCCGCCGCUACUCCCGGUCGCAGGUGCAGAUUUCCGCCGUCGCCGCCGCUUCUCCUGGUCGCAGGCACGGGCGCCCGCCUUCAUCCCUAGAGAUCUCCAGCCGCCGCACGGCCUCUCGUGCGCGCAAGCGACCACCCUCUCCCGGCCUACCUGGCCGCAGCGCACGCGUGCUUCGUUGGACCGCCCUCCGGCCUACGCUGCGGCCGCCGCGAAAGAAAAUCGCCUCUCGCCUCGGGCAAAAAUUGACGAUUCCUCCACAACUCCGAUCUACUAAGAGCCGCUAUAGCCGACCCACCCUUCUAAUUAAUUGAUCCAAAGGAGUAGGAUGUUGGAUAUCCUAAUUCUCCUGCAGUAUUAUUAUUUCAGAGUUAUUUAGAUCUAUCUACUUUUUAAGAGUCACGUGAAUUACAGAACCCCGUUUAGACUUCCGGUCACCCCGUCACAGUGCAAAUUAGGAGUAGAAUCAACAUCUCAUAGUAAUUUCUCCUUUAUUUUGUAUGUGUUAUAGUACUAUCUUUUGAAAGAAGUAAUAAUACAGCGUUGUUUUUCUCUUGCAGAUUUAGCAUUUACUAUAAGUGUGAUGGACCAAAUUCUUCAACUCCAGGUGAGCGUGCUCUGAAGAUGAACGAGUAAAAACAUAUGAACAAGGGACCGAGUAAAACAGAGAGGUAAUUUACUUAUGUGAAUGCAAAUUAUUUUUGUGAUGCAUCAGCAGUUAUCUUUUUCUUGUUUUUCUGAGUGUAAAAGAUGCAAUGUAGAUAUUCGAAAGAAAUGAUAUGGCAUAAACAUGUUAGUUAAUACGAGCUACAAUGGUCCUAUUUUUAGGGCACACAUUAGUACUAACUACUCUUUCGUGUUGAUACCGGCGACAUUUUUUCUUAGCUUUACCUUGAUGCUAGGCCCUUUUUCUUAGCUUCACCUUGAUAUUAGGCCUGGCCCAAUGUCGUAGCACAAAAUGCAGCUGCACAAGCAUGAGGCAGCAGAGGCAGCAGAAUGCCACAAACGAGCGCUACCACACCGAGAUCGCCUCACCCCCUAUAUCGUAUCAUUUUUUCAUCGUGAGGACUCAAGAUGUCACUGUGUUAAGAGUAAGUUUUCACCACUUUGAAGCCCACCUAACCACUACCCACAAGGCACAACUCUCGUCUCCAUAGUCCAUACCACCACCUACACGUCAGCCACCAAGAAGGUAAGAGGUAAAUCCAUCAGCCAAGAGGAGACCACACUUUUUUUAUAUCCACAUAUUGUCUAUUAUCUUAAUGUUUAUAUUAAGAGCCCCAGCUGGGUUAUAGUUUCAUCCCAGGCCAAUGAAAUCUUAGGACCGGCCCUGAGACCAUCCCUACUUGUUGUGUUCUGGAGAGGUGGACAAUGGAAGCAAAGCUUGCUAUUUACCCUAUGCUAGGCAUGCCAAACACACGUAUGGAUAAUUAUCACGAAGUCCACAACAAGGCUAGCAUCGCUUUAUGAGCCCAGAGCAAAUACAGAGGGUGGAUGAUUUCUCAAGAGUAUUAUGGAUUUUUGGCCUGAAGAUGACGUUGAUGAUGGGAACAAUGAGACUUCAACGUUCAAGCCUUUGAAAAGCAAAGUCUAGAAGAGCCUUUUAUCUAGAAGAAAACGAGGCGAUCAGUUAGUAUCCUAACAAGUGGCAUAGUUUGUUACCAAGUUGUUUGUAGUGCUAAACCCUAACCGUACUGAUCCUUGGCAGGCGGCUUAUAUAUAAAUAGAGUAUGUAACAUGUUGUACAUAGAUGAGACAGAACAUCCUAUUUCACGAACAUGUGUCUCAUGAAGCCAAGGUUUCACCCUGGGGGAUCAGGGUUCUUCAUCAGCGUCUCCACCACCUCAACCUCCAUGAGAGAUCAUCAAAACUAUCAUCUAUACGACCACUUGUGCCCUACCAGGAGAGGCGUACACGCUCUACAACAAGCACAUGAAAGAGCAUGGAUUCAGCAUCAUCAAAGAGAAGGUGAAACGAGGGAAAGGUGUCUCAAGAACUAUACAGUUCAGGCGGUUUGUUUGCUCCGGGGCAGGAAAAUGGUAGAGCAAAUUCUUAAACACGGAGCAGGCACCGCAGGCUAAGACCUGAGACCCGGUGUGACUGCAGUACAUUGUUGGUGGUGAAGUUGGACAGAUCAGGUAGAGUUUUGUUCGUCGUGACAUGUGUGGACAAUCACACCAUGUGCUGGCUAGACCCGACAAGGUCCCAUUUCUGUGAUCUCAUAGACGAAUAAAAGAUUCCCAGAGAACGGAGAUCUUAGCGACGGAAGGAGCUAGGAUCAGAAAGCACAUAAUCCUCGAUAACUUCAUCAAUAGGUAUGUUUCGUAUGAUCGGCCUUGUGAGGCAAGACCUUUACAACCUGUGUUGCAUAGAGAAAAUGAAACUGGUCGUAAAGGGUGAUGUUGACACGAUAAUCAGCAUUACGAGGAGCAGAAAGGCAAAUGACCCUAACUUCUUUGAGUAUGUGCUUGAUAAGAAAGGGUGGUUAAAGAGCAUGUUCUGGUGCGAUGCACAAUCGUGACUGGACUACAAGGACUACGGAGAUGUGAUAGUGUUUGACGACAAAUAUAAGAUGAACAUGUAUGCUAUGCUGUUCAUCCCCUUAGUCGGUGUUAAUAACCACCACUGCACCACCGUUUUUGGUUGCACCAUUGUGUCUGACAAGAUUGAAGAUACGUUCGUGUGGCUACUAUAGAUAUUCAUGAAAGCGAAUUGUCAGCAGAAGCCAAAGUGAGUAAUCACAGACGGAGAAGCUGCAAUGAUCCGAGCAAUUCGGAAUGUCCUUCCCGAUGUGUGCCAUCGUCUUUAUUCAUGGCAUGUAGAGAAAAAUGUGCAGAGCAUCUUUAUCAUAUGUCAAGGAAGGAGUUCAGGUUGCGGUUGUACUACUACAUCUUUCAUGCCAAUUUUCUCCGACUUCCAUUUAUCGACAAAAGCACUCCAUCUCUCAUGAUAAUUGGCAUGAGAGGUGGAGUAGUACAACAACGACCCGAACUCCUUCAGUGACUUAUGAUAAAGGUGUGUCUUUGCAUAUUUUUCUUUACAUGCCAUGAACAAAGACGAUGUCACACAUCUGGAAGGACAUGCUGAAUCGGUCGGAUCAUUCCAGCGUCUCUGUUUAUGUUUACUGACUUUGGCUUCUGCUGAAAAAUUGCUUCAUGAAUGUCUACAACAGCCACACGUACAUACCUUUAGUCUCGUCAGACACAAUGGCACAACCAAAAGAGAUGGUGUAACGGUGGUAUUAACGCAGACAAAGGGAUGAGCGGCAUACCAUACCUAUUCAUCUUGUAUGUGUUGUCAAACACUGUCACAUCUCCGUAGUCCUAAUAGUCUCGCCGUGACUGUGCAUCGCAUGAGAACAUGCUCUUUAACCGUCCUUCCUUAUUAAGCAUGUAUUCAAAGAAGAAGUCCGGGUCCUUCGCCUUUCUGCUCCUCGUAAUGCCGAUUACCGUGUCGGCAUCACCCUUUGCAAUCACUUUCAUUUUUUCUCUGCAACACAUGUUGUAAACGUCUCACCUCACAAGGCCGCACUUAUCAUACGAACCAUACAUCCUGAUGAAGUUAUCGAUGAUUAUGUGCUUUUUUAUCCGAGCUCCUUCCAUCUCUAAGAUUUAUGGUCUCUGAAAAUCUUUUAUCCAUCGAUGUGACCAUAGAAAUGAGUCCUCGUCGGGUCUAGGCAGCAGAUGGUUGUGAUCGUCCACAAAUGUCGUGACGAACCAAAAUCUACGUGAUCUGUCCAACUUCACCACCAGCUGCGCACCACACUCGCACCGAGUCUCAAGUCUUACCCUCUCUGUGUUUAAGAAUUUGCUCUGCCGUUUUCCUGCCCUAGAGCAAACGAAACGCCUGAACCGUAUAGUACCUGAAAGAUCUUUCCCUUGUUUCACCUUCUCUUUUCUAAUGAUGAAUCUACGCUCUUUCGCGUGCUUGUUCUAGAAUGUGUACCUUUCAAUGUGUAUCUAGCGCCUGUUGCUGCUAUUUGGCCUGCCCAAAGUCCAUAUUAUCAUCCUGGUCGUCAUCACCACUAGGACCAUCAACAU